rnacentral:rRNA from 1 species
CCCAGCAGCUAUAUCAGCCUGCAACACAACUUGCAGCCCACUGAAGCUUAGCAGGUGUGAGCCUGGCCAAUACCUGGAUGGGAGACUCCUGGGAAAAACUAAGGCUGCUGCUGGAA